rnacentral:rRNA from 1 species
GAGAUGGAUUCUGGACUGACUCAUCUCUCAAACUCGAGCCUCAGGAUGAGACGGCGGCGGAUUAGGCUGUUGGCGGUGUAAUGGACCACCAAACCAAAGAUCCGUACGGGCCAUGAGAGUGGUAGCCCGGAGAGGGACGCUGAGAUACUGGUCCCAGCCCCACGGGGUGCAGCAGGCGCGAAACCUUUACAAUGCACGCAAGUGUGAUAAGGGGAUCCCGAGUGCUUAUGCUUUGCAUAGGCUUUUGUUAAGAGUAAAAAUCUUAGCGAAUAAGUGGUGGGUAAGACUGGUGCCAGCCGCCGCGGUAACACCAGCGCCACGAGUGGCAACCAUGUUUAUUGGGCCUAAAGCGUCCGUAGCCGGUUUGGUAAAUCUUUUGUGAAAUCGUCAGACUUAACCUGACGCAGUGCAGAAGACACUGCCAGACUCGAGACCGGGAGGGGUUAGAAGUAUUCUUGGGGGAGCGGUAAAAUGUUAUAAUCCCAAGAGGACUACCUAUGGCGAAGGCAUCUAACCAGAACGGAUCUGACGGUGAGGGACGAAAGUUAGGGUAGCGAACCGGAUUAGAUACCCGAGUAGUCCUAACUGUAAACGCUGUGAGCUAGGUGUUGCGUAUUCUACGAGAAUGCGCAGUGUCGAAACGAAGGUGUUAAGCUCACCGCCUGGGAAGUACGGUCGCAAGACUGAAACUUUAAGGAGUUGGCGGGGGAGCACCACAAGGGGUGCGGCGUGCGGUUCAAUCUAAUUCAACGCAGAAAACCUCACUAGCGGCGACGGCAGGAUGAAAGUCAUGCUGAAGACAUUACUCGACAGGCCCAGAGGUGGUGCAUGGCCGCCGUCAGCUCGUGCUAUGAAGUGUCCAGUUAAGUCUGGCAACGAGCGAGACCUGUAUCUGCAAUUGCUAACAGCCACAUGUGGGACUGAGCACAUUGCAGGGACUGCCCUGGAAACAGGGAGGAAGGUGCAGGCUACGGUAGGUCUGUAUGCCCCGAAUCCGCUAGGCUACACGCGCGCAACAAUGGUAGGGACAAUGGGAUACAACUCCGAAAGGAGAAGUUAAACCUCUAAACCCUAUCUUAGUCCGGAUUGAGGAUUGCAACUCAUCCUCAUGACGAUGGAAUCCCUAGUAAUCAGAGUUCAUCAUACUCUGGUGAAUAUGUCCCUGCUCCUUGCACACACCGCCCGUCAAACCAACCGAGCAGGGUUUAGGUAAAACCUGGUUUCUUGAUCAGGUUGAAUCUAAGCUCAGUGAGGCGGGUUAAGUCGUCACAAGGUA